rnacentral:ncRNA from 1 species
AAAUCAUACAUGACGGAAGGUGCUUGUUCGUCACAAGUUAAAAGGGAAGCGGGUCAGAAUCCCGCGCGAUCUCGUCACCGUAUUUUGAGAGCUUUUUCUUGAUAAUGAAAAUACCACUGGAUUAAAUCCGGGAAGGUGAGAAAAUGCGCCGCAGUUGUGAGAUACAUGACUGCAUUAUCAAUAAGUCGGGAAACCUGCCUGUCGUCGUACAUGGGA